CCUACGGGAGGCAGCAGUAAGGAAUAUUGGUCAAUGGACGGAAGUCUGAACCAGCCAUGCCGCGUGCAGGAAGACGGCCCUAUGGGUUGUAAACUGCUUUUAUACGGGAACAAACGUCGGUACGUGUACCGGUCUGAGUGUACCGUAAGAAUAAGGAUCGGCUAACUCCGUGCCAGCAGCCGCGGUAAUACGGAGGAUCCGAGCGUUAUCCGGAAUUAUUGGGUUUAAAGGGUGCGUAGGCGGCCAAAUAAGUCAGGGGUGAAAGUCGGCAGCUCAACUGUCGCAGUGCCUUUGAUACUGUUUGGCUUGAAUUCGGUUGAAGAUGGCGGAAUGAGACAAGUAGCGGUGAAAUGCAUAGAUAUGUCUCAGAACACCGAUUGCGAAGGCAGCUAUCUAAUCCGUUAUUGACGCUGAUGCACGAAAGCGUGGGGAGCAAACAGGAUUAGAUACCCUGGUAGUCCACGCCCUAAACGAUGAUAACUCGAUGUUGGCGAUAUACAGUCAGCGUCUUAGCGAAAGCGUUAAGUUAUCCACCUGGGGAGUACGCCGGCAACGGUGAAACUCAAAGGAAUUGACGG
rnacentral:rRNA from 1 species